rnacentral:lncRNA from 1 species
AAGGGGUAUAUAGGAUACCCAUGACAGACAUGAACACAAAUCAAGAUUCAACGUAUAUAGGGGUGAUGUCAAAGUCAUUAGGAGUGUGGCUGGACGAACAUAGAAAUGACAUCGUAAAGGGGAGAACGGGCACGGCCUUAGCAGCCGAAGCGUAUAACAACAAUCUCUGUAUAAAAUGGGAAGAAGCUAAUUGUAUUAAAUCCCUAGGGAAGCAUGUGAGACCUACAGUGAUGGAAUCUUUGGAAAUUCUAAGAAGGUCAGGCUAGGAGAGAUUAAUCAAUCAUAGACUUGCGUGGGAGCUUUCCAUGGCGUGGAGAUGUGCUUUGGGUGAUGGGAGGAAUGUUUGAGUAAGAGAGGGGAUAUUUUUAUGAAUAUUAUAUUGAUGGAAGGAGGGGAAUGUGACAGCAGAC